GGGAUAUUGCACAAUGGGGGGAACCCUGAUGCAGCGACGCCGCGUGGGUGAAGAAGUAUUUCGGUAUGUAAAGCCCUAUCAGCAGGGACGAUAAUGACGGUACCUGAGUAAGAAGCCCCGGCUAACUACGUGCCAGCAGCCGCGGUAAUACGUAGGGGGCAAGCGUUAUCCGGAUUUACUGGGUGUAAAGGGAGCGCAGACGGGAAGCCAAGUCAGAUGUGGAAGCCCCGGGCAUAACCCGGGGAGUGCAUUUGAAACUGGAGACCUGGAGUACUGGAGGGGUGGGCGGAAUUCCUGGUGUAGCGGUGAAAUGCGUAGAUAUCAGGAAGAACACCGGCGGCGAAGGCGGCCCACUGGACAGAAACUGACGUUGAGGCUCGAAAGCGUGGGGAGCAAACA
rnacentral:rRNA from 1 species